AGGACAUCAGGAAGUCUCCUAAUCCUUGUUGUGUUGCCAAAUGAUGGAAAUGUGAAAGCUGCCAGAAAGAAUAGGGAUCAAAAAGUGAUACUCCUCCGGUUUGCCUCUCUGACGCUGCAACCUGGAGACGAGUCAAUCCUGCAAGGAGGCUGUGCAAACAUCAUGUGUUCCCGUGUGGAAAGCAGGGGAGAUGGCCAGGAGCAACAGGACACGGGGCCAAUGCCAGCUUGAAAAUCCUAACUGGAAGAAAGCAGCAAGGCUGGAGAUGUCCAGGAGAAAGAUGAGAGGAGCUGCUGCAUAAAAUUGGGAAAACAGAGUUCCAGAGUGACA